UACGUAGGUGGCAAGCGAUACUCGGAAUCACUAGGCGUAAAGCGCAGGUAGGCGGUUUGGUAAGCCUUUUGUGAAAGCUCCCGGCUUAACUGGGAGAGGUCAAGGGAAACUACCGGACUAGAGUGUGGUAGGGGAUACUGGAAUUCCUGGUGUAGCGGUGAAAUGCGUAGAUAUCAGGAGGAAUACCUAUGGCGAAAGCAGGUAUCUGGGCCAUCACUGACGCUGAGGCGCGAAAGCGUGGGGAGCAAACAGG
rnacentral:rRNA from 1 species